GCAAAACAAGCUUGUAUGUAUAUAUAUCUGUAACCCCUCUACAUAGCUAUUUAGCAACCCAUGUAUGUAUAUUGAUAAUAUAUAUAUAACAAAACAAAACAAAAGUAUCGUAACAAGUGACUAUUAAAAUUAAUCAUCAGCACAGAAUAUAAUUGAGGACCCUCAAAGGAAAUGAGGUCUGCAAUUUUCUUGAAUCUCCUGGCUUAAAAAAUGAUAUUUAAUAGUGCAAUUCACUUCUACCGCAAGAUGCUUCUUGAUAAUGUUGAGUAUCUUCACCUUCCCAUCAAUUACUGUGCUGGUGCUCACAGUUAAAGAACCUGAAAUUGCAUCCUUAACCCAGCUUGGAACUUCCAAAAUUUUCUCAGGAAUCAUAUUCACCGUAACGUUCAUGUGAAUCGUCCGCCUUGCCUUGGCCUUCUCUGACGGAGUCCUCGCCUCGCCGACCACCGUGCCACCAUACAAAACAGUUGUUGUUCCGUUGUUGAACUUGAAGGAGGCGAAGUUAGGGUUUUUCACUGAAAUAUCAGCAAGAAGUGUGACGUUGGCAUCGGUUCUGAAACUGAAACUCCCAUUAGGUAGCAGCAGUGGUUCCAGGUCCAGGGUUAGGGUGUUCAUCCUGACAACAGGAUCCUUGAUAUGAAAAACAGUGAAAAAGAGGACUAGAACGGUGACAGCUAGAAUUAAAAGGAAGGCAAUGAAACAGCCGCAACACUUGAUGCAUUUUCGCUGGUGAAGCUUCAAUUGGGUGGAUAAGGCUUCCUCUUCAUCGCUGAGGGAUUGGAAUGCAGAAGCAGCUAAAGGCUUGGCCUGCUCUGUGGUCUCAGCCAUGGCCACACGCUGGAAUGGAAAAGAAUGAUUCAAUUUUUUUAGUAAUAUAAACGGCUAGAUUUUGUCCAUAGUGUUUGACAUGUAACCAUCUCAACGACUUCACUACGCGUUUUACACGCACGGCGUGAACGACUUGACUUUUGACUGUGCGCACUACGGAUAUUAUGGGAAAUUUCCACCUUCGAUUUAAGGUAAAAAUAUCAAUUACACUUCAAAUUAAAAUUAGGAGAUCUACUAUUGUAAAAUAAAAAUACUGA
rnacentral:misc_RNA from 1 species